rnacentral:rRNA from 1 species
CAGCCGCCGCGGUAAAACGUAGGGCGCAAGCGUUAUCCGGAAUUAUUGGGCGUAAAGAGCUCGUAGGCGGUUUGUCGCGUCUGCCGUGAAAGUCCGGGGCUCAACCCCGGAUCUGCGGUGGGUACGGGCAGACUAGAGUGAUGUAGGGGAGACUGGAAUUCCUGGUGUAGCGGUGAAAUGCGCAGAUAUCAGGAGGAACACCGAUGGCGAAGGCAGGUCUCUGGGCAUUAACUGACGCUGAGGAGCGAAAGCAUGGGGAGCGAACAGGAUUAGAGACCCCAGUAGUCCCUGUCUCUUAUAC